CUCCCCCGUGUUCGAGAAAAGUAUUUCACCACUUGAGCGGACCGUUUGGCUGCUUGGCGGGUUUCACAAUAUAUGGUGACUGAUGCUUUAUUUUUUGUACACAUGUUUUGUCGUUGCAAUUGUUCGUCGUAUUUUUUGAGGUUGAGCUGUAAGAGGAGUUCACCUGGAGAGUACAUUAUCUACAGUUCUGCUGGCAUUUUUUUGGAGGAC
rnacentral:lncRNA from 1 species